rnacentral:piRNA from 1 species
AGGACUGGAGACUUGACAAACAUA